rnacentral:rRNA from 1 species
ACGGGGUGCAGCAGGCGCGAAAUCUUCACAAUGUGCGAAAGCACGAUGAGGGAAUCCCAAGUGCUAGCACGUAAGUGUUAGCUGUUUCUUAGUCUAAAAAACUCAGAGAGUAAGGGCUGGGUAAGACGGGUGCCAGCCGCCGCGGUAAUACCCGCAGCUCAAGUGGUGGCCGCUAUUAUUGGGCCUAAAACGUCCGUAGCCUGUUUAGUAAAUGCUUGGGUAAAUUGUGUAGCUUAACUAUACGAAUACCGGGUAGACUGCUAAACUUGGGACCGGGAGAGGCUAGAGGUACUCCUAGGGUAGAGGUGAAAUUCUGUAAUCCUAGGGGGACCACCAGUGGCGAAGGCGUCUAGCUAGAACGGGUCUGACGGUGAGGGACGAAGCCCUGGGGCGCGAACCGGAUUAGAUACCCGGGUAGUCCAGGGUGUAAACGCUGCUUGCUUGAUGUUAGUUGGGCUCCGAGCCCAACUAGUGUCGGAGAGAAGUUGUUAA